UUGCGGUUAAAAAGCUCGUAGUUGGAUUUCUGCCCAGGACGACCAGUCUGCCCCCAGGGUUUGUACUCGGCCAGACCUGGGCAUCUUUUGGGGGUCUCGUGCUGCACUUGAUUGCGUGGCCACGAAUCCCAAACUUUUACUUUGAGGAAAUUAGAGUGUUUCAAGCAGGCGUCUGCCUUGAAUACAUUAGCAUGGAAUGAUGAUAUAGGGCCUCGGUCCAUUUUUGUCGGUUCCUUGGACUGAUGCAAUGAUAAACAGGGACAGUUGGGGGCAUUCGUAUUUAACUGUCAGAGGUGAAAUUCUUAGAUUUGUUAAAGACGAACUACUGCGAAAGCAUUUGCCAAGGAUGUUUUCAUUGAUCAAGAACGAAAGUUAGGGGAUCGAAGACGAUCAGAUACCGUCCUAGUCUUAACCAUAAACUAUGCCACCUAGCGAUUGAGGGUCGUUCAUAUUAUGACUCCUUCAGGCACCUUAUGAGAAAUCAAAGUCUUUGGGUUCCGGGGGGAGUAUGGUCGCAAGGCUGAAACCUAAAAGGAAUUGACGGAAAGGGCACCCACCAGG
rnacentral:rRNA from 1 species